UUAUUGGAUGCCUCUAGUUUUCAGGAAAAAGCUAAACACAACGCAGAAGCACCGCACCGUACUAUAAACCGACACAGGUAGAAUCGUGUAUUUCACGUAGGCAAUGAGGAAACCAUGUUGAAGGAACUCGGCAAAUUAGCCUCGUAACUUCGGGAUAAGAGGAGACGUAUUGUAUUAUA
rnacentral:rRNA from 1 species